rnacentral:rRNA from 1 species
AGGGAAUCUUCCACAAUGGACGCAAGUCUGAUGGAGCAACGCCGCGUGAGUGAAGAAGGUUUUCGGAUCGUAAAGCUCUGUUAUACGGGACGAAUGGCGCAGCGGUCAAUACCCGUCGUAAGUGACGGUACCGUAAGAGAAAGCCACGGCUAACUACGUGCCAGCAGCCGCGGUAAUACGUAGGUGGCAAGCGUUGUUCCGGAAUUAUUGGGCGUAAAGGGCGCGCAGGCGGCGUCGUAAGUCGGUCUUAAAAGUGCGGGGCUUAACCCCGGGGGGGACCGAAACUGCGAUGCUAGAGUAUCGGAGAGGAAAGCGGAAUUCCUAGUGUAGCGGUGAAAUGCGUAGAUAUUAGGAGGAAAACCAGUGGCGAAAGCGGCUUUCUGGACGACAACUGACACUGAGGCGCGAAAGCCAGGGUAGCAAACG